AACAGCCUCUGUACUUCUUCGUAAGUAACGGUAUGGACUACGUACAUUUUACCCUCCUAAAACCCACUUUGUGUGGGAAUACACUUGUUGUUGCUAACUUUACAAGAAAGCAAGCUCAUAAUCCUUCAAUACCGGCAAAUCUUCCAAAUCCACUGUCUGACUCCACCAAUGGAAGGGACUGCAUAUCAUUAUUCAGGAGGAAAUGUUAGAAGGAUCCAUUUUAACAUGAAACAAGAAAAAAGGGGCGUUGGGAAGACAAAAGGCAUUAGCCUGAAAAGCUGGGAAGUCGAAAGAUCUAAACAAAAGGUGGGUUUAGAGGAUAAAGAAUGUUGGAAACUUUAUGAUCUUUUGAGGUAGCCACAGAUAAGUACGUCAAACGCUCUUUCAUGAGAAUUUAAGUUUUGUGCAUCGUCAGUGUAUAGAUAUUCUACCCUAUCAAGUAAACUUGACUUGUUAUUGCAGGUUACCUAAUUUUUUCUUUUUUAAUUUUUAUGUAAAUAAUUGGGUAACCUGCAAUAGCAGGUCAAGUUAACUGAUAGUGUAGAAUAUUUUGUAUAGAACUUAAACUCCUUUCAUAAAUGCCUCAAGUGGCUGAUGCCUGUAGGUGCCUGACACAUGUAAUUUGAUGCAGUCUCACUGACAGCUGCAGCCACUCCACAAUGUAAUUGUGAAGCUAUCUGCCUAGCACGACGCUGACUCCCUGAAAAUACAGCACAACCAAGCCCAUAGCUUGAAUCAUUUGCAAUCUGAACAGCUUCUACGUCAGAGAUGAAUUUCGUUAUUGGCAAUAUUGGUCCAAAAGCCUGCGUGCAAUUGCCAUAUGGAGUUAAAUAUGCCACCUUCAUCUUAAUAGAAACUAAAAAGAUACUUCCUCCUGCAUCAAUUUCAUUGUGUGAUUUACAUUUACACAGUAGGAAGGAAGUACUGAGCAACAGCACCUUCUCCAAUAUUGCCUACACUUCCUCGAGCAAUAAUUUCAGCACCUUUGUCUAAGGCAUCAUUUACCAGGGUUUCGACAUUUCCAUAUAUCCGGGUCAUGCCAAGGCAGCUGUGUAUAUACCAUAACUGGAUUUUGAAAACGAACUUGACUUGCUGAAGGAUCUGGCUGAACAUGCUAUUCAGGAAUACAACCUUAAGGAGGAAAAUGUUUACAAGUACAAGUUCAGGUAUAUUGAAACAGUGAACCUUGUUGAGGCUGAACAUCGCGAAUUUUUCAUGAACGUUAACAUCGAUAAUAUCACUCUGCGUACACCUUGGGAAUCUUUCCGGAUCCACGCGUAUAGAGGAACAGAUGAGAAGAAUGUUGUUCUUCGUUGCCAGAGAAAAAUGUAUGUCUAAUUAAAAUGAGUUGGUUCAUCUCUAAAGUUGAUUGAGAAGAAGCUUCACUGGAGGCAGUUGAAACUAUUUAUUUUGGAAUCUGUUACUAGUUGAGAACAGUAUCAUCAUAUGUACGAAAUGGUUAACGUUGAUAGACAACGUCAUUAUUAGCUGUAGAAGUAUUUGGAUAAAUUUAUUAUGGUCGGGCAAACUCUCUUGUAACAAAACUUCCCAUUUACUUUGCUCUUAUGGCCGGGAUCCCUG